AAAUGUGCAUAAAAAUUUACCUCACCUCUUCUUUCGUACAGCACCCUGAAUGACAGAAAGAAACAACCAAAGUUCUCGUGUUUAAACAAGUUUUGUUUUGAGCUAUAUCAUAGCUGCUUGUGAAGUAUUAUUUUGCGUGUUUUAUUUAAAUCAGUGAUCUGUAGCCUAAUUAAAGUUUAAAUCAGUGUCGGCCAAAACGCAUUUUCCUAUGCCCGGGGCAUAGGCUAGCUGCUGCGACGUCAAACACGUAUACUCUUCUGCCAACUUCAGAAAAAACGAAAGAGCCAGUAAACUGCUCGUAUAAUAUACGAAUAGCUUGGUUCGGCAGCAGCGUAAGGCGAAGCUAAUUAUUUCAGUUACGUUUCAGAAUUCUGUGAGCUAGCAUGUAUGCGCAAGUUUAAUUUUUUACACUGCCAGAAAAUACCCCCUUGCGUAAUUUAUAAAAAUGUUUAAAAUUGAAUGGGAGACAAUUUUUUUUUGUUGAAAAUAUGGAGGGAGAAGCCCAUUGCCUCAUUUGUAAUAAAUUUGCACUGAUCAACAUUUGUACAAAUUGAACUUAAAUCAUUUUCAUUAACAUUAUAAAAAAAAAUUGCUCAUUAUUUAUUCAGUGUACUUUUCUGCCAACACAGUUUGCAGCAACGCUUUACGCACACAAGUGAAAGCUACAUACUAUUGCAUUGGACAACACUGGUUUAAAUUAUUGAAGCACGCAUUUUUAAAUAAGUAAAACGUAAAAUAAAAGUUUGCUUAAGCCAAAAUAUGGAAUUGAAGAGGGUGAUACAGUAAUACUUCAUUGCAUUGUCAAUUCGAAGCACGCAAUAGAAGCUACGCCAACAAUGGUCAACAUCAAGGUCGAAACCAUUGAAUAUAUAUUUCAAACCACACACUUAUAGUAGCAGCGUAGAACUUUCGAAACGAUGGAAUAUGUGCUGCAAGCAAAUUCAGAACUAUGGAUGCAAACGCUGCUACAUGGAACAUAAAUCAUUGACACACCAGAUAUUAGGUUUAAUGUCACUUUUUUACGUGCAAUUAAAACUUUUGGUCAACACAAGCACGAGAAUUGGAACGACAUGGAUUAGGUGAUUUUGAAACCGUUUAUCAUCGCGACGUGUGUCAACUGGGCAUUGCCAAUGAGCUAGAGGGCAAAGCAUAUGCAGUAUUUUUGCACUUACCGGCACCUCAGUUGGCCAUACCAGCAAAUGAAACAUAGAAAUCAGACGGAGGAUUUUUUGAUUCAUUUUCACCUUGUAUUGAGGAAUCAUAACGUUGUUGUAUCGCUUUACAAGGACAUGGAUUCACCGAAAUUAGUUCAAUGGAAAUACUACAGCAAGAGCAUGGAUGUUAAGACUAGAACGUUGCCAGUGCUAGAUUUAGAAUUCCUGAAACAUAAGGAAAUUAUUACCAACUUUUAUGUUGUAAAAAUUCUAAUUUUACUUUAUAUUUUAUAGAAACCCUCCUCCCAGAAAUUGGACGAAUCUAGUACUAAUGAAAUUAAUGAAAGAACAGAUCUUCCAAAUCUCCUAAAGAAACCAAAAGAGUCCUCACAUAAUGUGCGUAGCUUACACUUCCAGGCUGCUCGGGGUAUUUGCAACUCUUCCUCCAGCCUUUGUCAGAUAGCAAAAAUUGUUCAACUAUUCAAUUGUUUUACAUAUGUAUAUAGUGUAGUACGAUAAUACAUGUAUAAAUUAAAUAUAAUAAUAAACGCCUGAAUGGAUUGAUAUUUUCAAUAA